UACGUAGGGUACGAGCGUUAAUCGGAAUUACUGGGCGUAAAGCGUGCGCAGGCGGUUUUGUAAGCCAGAUGUGAAAUCCCCGGGCUUAACCUGGGGAAUGGCAUUUGGGACUGCAAGGCUUGAGUGCGGCAGAGGAGACUGGAAUUCCUGGUGUAGCAGUGAAAUGCGUAGAUAUCAGGAGGAACAGCCGAUGGGCGAAGGCAGUG
rnacentral:rRNA from 1 species